UCCAAAUCCUUGUUUUCCUUCACCUAUUUCUACAUUCAUGUUCAAAAUCAUAUCUUUAACGAAUUUCCAUGACUUAGCUCGUGACUUUUUUUUUUUGGGUAAUUGCCUGCCUCUGUGAUAGCUCCGAGUUGUUUCCUUUUUCACCUUUUUCGUUCUGGUUUAGUGUGAUUUUCUGUUUGAUUAGUGAUUAUUGGGUUACGUAGUAGUUUGGAGAAUCGUUGUAAGCAUAAUUUUGUAUUUAUUUAGUAAAGUUGAGAAUUAUGGCGGAUUGAGAAUUUGGAUGAAGUCCUGUUUGGAUUUAAGCCUUCUUAUUUUGGCUUUCCUCAAUUUGGGAUUUUGAUUUUUGGCAGCCUCCCAAACGAGGUGGGAGUGCCCCUGUAGCUGCGAAGAAAUGGCCUGUGGGUCUGCUUUAUCCCUAACUAUCUGGUACAAAUUUUCAAUGACAGAGACACCCUGGUACAAAAAAGUAGAAGGUUUAUACCACUUCACGGUGCUUGGGGAGAUUUUGGCCUGACUGUGGCCACUGGUCAGAUGGCUUAUGGCCCGCAUAAGGUUACCCAGAACUCAGAGGAGGAGCGAGAACCUCGAGCAUCUAGAAGAGGGUUAGGGAGACUUGGAUGAAUUGCCUGAAGAGGACAACCAAGCCAUACUAGAACUGCAGAGGGUACCAGUAGAGUCACCACCAAGAAGAAGAGCCUAACAAUGAUUGAAUCCACUUCGGAGUCAUUGGCCAAAAUUCUUGAGUAUAUGCAGUGAGGCUUUAGCGCAAUGCACUCUAGAUUUGCAGCAGCGUCUGGAGUCCAAGGGAGCACAUCAUUGAGAUGACAGAUGCACAAGAUGACCCAUUGAUCAUUGAACGGUGCAUCUUAUUGUUGGAAGCACCGGCAGACAUCAGCGAAGAUCGUUACAGGAGGGCAACCGACAGGAUAGCCAGUAGCAAGUAUAAUAGACGGAUGUUUUCAUGCCUUUCAAAGGAACACGGGCGGGUCAUAAUCACCGGAUUUAGGCCAUCACGAUUUCUGCAUUCAAACUUUAUGAGGACUUAUGGAGCUACAAACCUUUGCAAGUUGUUACUAAAAUGUUGACCUGAGGAUAAGGCUGCUAAGAAAGGAGAGACUUUUGCAGAAAGCGCAAGCCGAAGCUGAUGGGAAGAGUGCGGAGGCAAAGGAACUGAUUUUUUGUGCCUUAUCUCGGUGAGGAACGAAGAUAGGCUUUAAUUUAGUUUAGAUAAUGGUGGCAGUUUAGUAGAUCUAGACUUAAGAAAAGCUUGUUUAACAUGUAUAAAUAUUAGGAUAGCUUUUUAUUGUAUUUCUGAAUCUCUUUCUCAGACCAAAACCAGUACAAGGUGCCAAGGAGGCUGCCCAA